rnacentral:misc_RNA from 1 species
GCAAACUUGGUCAUUUAGAGGAAGUAAAAGUCGUAACAAGGUUUCCGUAGGUGAACCUGCGGAAGGAUCAUUAUCGAAGCUUUGAAUUCGUAGCGUUGAGAGAACUGUUGCUGACGUUUGCGUAUGUGCACGUUCGAACGCGUUGCGUUUUCUCUUCUAUUCAAUUCCACCUGUGCACCUUUGUAGACUUGUGGUUCGCGUAUGGUUGGCUUUGACGAAAGCUUCCGUUUGUGUGACCAAAGUCUAUGCGCAUAUCAUCUCUUGUAUGUCUUAGAAUGUGUUGGUGUUCGGACGCAAGUCCUUUAAAUCUUAUACAACUUUCAACAACGGAUCUCUUGGCUCUCGCAUCGAUGAAGAACGCAGC